GACGAACGCUGGCGGCGUGCCUAAUACAUGCAAGUCGAACGCAGUGGGGACGGCUGAGUAACACGUGGGUCAACUCCAAUCAGAGGGGAUAAAACUUGGAAACAGGUGCUAAACCGAGACUGAUGGAUGGACACGCGGUGCAUUCACGAGUUGGGGAGGUAACGGCUCACCAGGGCCACGAUGCAUAGCCGACCUGGGAGGUGGAUCGUCCACACUGGGACUGAUACACGGCCCAGACUCCUACGGGAGGCAGCAGUAGGGAAUCUUCGGCAAUGGACGAAAGUCUGACCGAGCAACGCAGCGUGAGUGAAGAAGGUUUUCGGAUCGUAAAACUCUGGUGUUAGAGAAGCGGUAUCUAACCAGAAAGCCACGGCUAACUACGUGCCAGCAGCCGCGGUAAUAC
rnacentral:rRNA from 1 species